GAUGAAGAACGCAGCGAAAUGCGAUAAGUAGUGUGAAUUGCAGAAUUCAGUGAAUCAUCGAAUCUUUGAACGCACAUUGCGCCCGUCAGUAUUCUGACGGGCAUGCCUGUCCGAGCGUCAUUUCAACCCUCAAGCACUGCUUGGCGUUGGCGGAUUGCGUGCCCUCGCGGCGCUGCAACCGCCCAAAUACAGUGGCGGUCCCGCUGCGGCUCCCUUUGCGUAGUAACUCACCUCGCACUGGACCGGGCGGCGGCCUGCCGUAAAACCCCAACUCACGAAAUGUUGACCUCGGAUCAGGUAGGAAUACCCGCUGAACUUAAGCAUAUCAAUAAGCGGAGGA
rnacentral:misc_RNA from 1 species